rfam:TPA: Bos taurus chromosome 28, whole genome shotgun sequence.
CCUGGUGGCUCAGACGGUAAAGUGUCUGCCUACAAUGCAGGAGACCCAGGUUCAAUCCCUGGGUCAGGA